ACUGUAGAAGGAAGACGUGUGGGGUGUCUUUCUGUAGAGGACCUUUGUAAGUAAUGGUGAUUUGUAAUGACGUUUGAGGGAGGACUUUGGAAGACUGUUUGGAAUGUUUGGAUUCAGAAUGUUGAAGAGCCGGUAAGGAACAUUUUAGAGUUGGUUUGGCUGGAAGAGUAGAAUAGGUUGGUCCGGAAUGUUGAGAUCAGUGUCGGUGUUGAGAGGGAGAUCGAGAGAGUGACGGUGAAUAUUGAGAUGGAUAUGAAGAGUCUAGAGCUUGAGUCGAGGUCUUCGAUGUCGACACCAACUUUGAUGCGGACUUCGACUUCUUGGAGUGUGGAGAAUGAGUCACAGAACUAGGAGCAGGCACAGGUCUGAGCGACAUGGCGGAAAAAAGGAACUGAGGGGAC